rnacentral:misc_RNA from 1 species
GAUGAAGAACGUAGCGUAAUGCGAUAAGUAGUGUGAAUUGCAGAAUUCAGUGAAUCAUCGAAUCUUUGAACGCACAUUGCGCCCCUUGGUAUUCCAUGGGGCAUGCCUGUUCGAGCGUCAUUUGUACCUUCAAGCUCUGCUUGGUGUUGGGUGUUUGUCUCGCCUCUGCGUGUAGACUCGCCUUAAAACAAUUGGCAGCCGGCGUAUUGAUUUCGGAGCGCAGUACAUCUCGCGCUUUGCACUCAUAACGACGACGUCCAAAAGUACAUUUUUACACUCUUGACCUCGGAUCAGGUAGGGAUACCCGCUGAACUUAAGCAUAUCAAUAAGCGGAGGA